UACGUAGGCAGCAAGCGUUGUUCGGAGUUACUGGGCGUAAAGGGUGUGUAGGCGGUUUUUUAAGUUUGGUGUGAAAUCUCCCGGCUCAACUGGGAGGGUGCGCCGAAUACUGAAAGACUAGAGUGCGGGAGAGGAAAGUGGAAUUCCUGGUGUAGCGGUGAAAUGCGUAGAUAUCAGGAGGAACACCGGUGGUGUAGACGGCUUUCUGGACCGUAACUGACGCUGAGACGCGAAAGCGUGGGUAGCAAACAGG
rnacentral:rRNA from 1 species